UUGAAACGGGCUGAACGCAUCUUUCCCUCCAAGACAAAUGUUGACCUUUACUCCUCUCAGAGUUUGACUCCUUCAGUGUUCAGUCUGUGGAAGUCUUAUUUUCUAAAGUCAUCCAUGUUCAGUGUAGCUGAUGCUGGGGGACAUUAGUGUGGUGAGACGGAGGGAAAGAGGACAAAGAGACAGAAUGGAAAUACUUUGUCACGUCAAGAAGAAGAACUUUGAGCAGCAACUUGCUCUCAGUGGGUUUAGUUUCUGCUGUUAAGCUUCUCUGUGUCCUCAGGAAGAGACGACGUGAGACAUUUUAAGCGACUUCUGUCACUUCAUGUUAAGCAGUGAUGAGCUGAAGGAAUCAUUGUGACUCCUGUGUUUGUGCUGAAGGGACGUGAUCUGCUCCUCAAGCUUGAUGCUGAUCUUCCUGGGAAGUUUCUAUAUCUUGACUGGAAAAUCAAUAAAACAAUCAAAUUAGUAAGAUUUCUACCUAGUGGAAAAUCAAUUGUCCUUCAUAAUUCCACGGGAGGGUUCGAGUUUCCUGAGAGAUUCUCUGUGACAUUGAAGAAUCUACAAGAGGCCGACAGCGGACUUUAUGCUGCUGUAGUAGUAACAUUUUCAGGAGACAAACUAGUAGCUGAAUACAAGGUCACAGUUCAAGGACCAGUGUCUCCAGUUGAACUGAUCGUGGACCGAGUGG